rnacentral:rRNA from 1 species
GUAGGGAAUAUUGCACAAUGGGGGAAACCCUGAUGCAGCGACGCCGCGUGAGUGAUGAAGGCCUUCGGGUCGUAAAGCUCUGUCGUAUGGGACUAACACAAUGAAGGUACCAUGCAAGAAAGGAUCGGCUAACUUCGUGCCAGCAGCCGCGGUAAGACGAGGGAUCCUAGCGUUGUUCGGAAUCAUUGGGCGUAAAGCGGGUGUAGGCGGAUUUAUAAGUCAGGUGUGAAAUCCCAGGGCUCAACCCUGGAAGUGCACUUGAUACUGUAAAUUUUGAGUGUGGUAGAGGUUACUGGAAUUGUUGGUGUAGUGGUGAAAUACGUAGAUAUCAACAGGAAUACCGGAGGCGAAGGCGAGUAACUGGGCCAACACUGACGCUGAGACCCGAAAGCGUGGGGAUCAAACAGGAUUAGAAACCCCAGUAGUCC